CAUGAUCGAACUUUUUUUUGUAAUCCAUGAUAGAAUUUUUUGAAAAUUUGUGAUUUUUUUUUUAAUCCAUGAUCGAUUUUUUUGAAAAUUUGUUAUUUUUUUUUUUAAUCCAUAUUAUUCAAAAAGAAAAUGAGAGAGAUGAUGAUUCUGAGGCCACCCUAUCCCAGCCAUAUUAUUCACAUAUCGAGUCCCAACAGCAACAGCGUAGGGAUGAGCACGAAAUACUGUAAAUUAAAUGCUGAAUGGCGGUU
rnacentral:lncRNA from 1 species